rnacentral:rRNA from 1 species
UACGUAGGGUGCAAGCGUUGUCCGGAAUUAUUGGGCGUAAAGAGCUCGUAGGCGGUCUGUCACGUCGGCUGUGAAAACCCGGGGCUCAACCCCGGGCCUGCAGUCGAUACGGGCAGACUAGAGUGCGGUAGGGGAGACUGGAAUUCCUGGUGUAGCGGUGAAAUGCGCAGAUAUCAGGAGGAACACCGGUGGCGAAGGCGGGUCUCUGGGCCAUAACUGACGCUGAGGAGCGAAAGCGUGGGGAGCGAACAGG